rnacentral:rRNA from 1 species
UACAUGGGGUGCAAACGUUGCUCGGAAUUAUUGGGCGUAAAGCGCACGUAGGCGGUUUGUUAAGUCGGAUGUGAAAUCCCUCGGCUCAACUGAGGAAGUGCAUCCGAAACUGGCAGGCUUGAGUACUAAAGAGGGUCGCGGAAUUCCCGGUGUAGAGGUGAAAUUCGUAGAUAUCGGGAGGAACACCGGUGGCGAAGGCGGCGACCUGGGUAGAUACUGA